AUGGGAGCUGGGGGUGCCUGAAGUUCGUGACCGCGAGGAGCGACCUAGGGCAAAACCGGUGACUGGGGCUAAGUCGUAACAAGGUAGCCGUACCGGAAGGUGCGGCUGGAACACCUCCUUU
rfam:Alistipes sp. CHKCI003 isolate CHKC3 genome assembly, contig: {contig23}